AGAAUCAACGCUGGCGGCGUGCCUAACACAUGCAAGUCGAACGAGAAAGGGGAGCAAUCCCUGAGUAAAGUGGCGCACGGGUGAGUAACACGUGACUAACCUACCCUGGAGUGGGGGAUAACUGAGGGAAAACCUUAGCUAAUACCGCAUAACACCUACGGGUCAAAGGAGCAAUUCGCUUUGGGAGGGGGUCGCGGCCGAUUAGUUAGUUGGCGGGGUAAUGGCCCACAAGACAGUGAUCGGUAUCC
rnacentral:rRNA from 1 species